GAACCAGUCUCUCUCAAUUCUCCAUCGUUCAGAGACCUCCCUAACCCUAACCCGCCGCCACCACAUUCCUCUCCCCAAAACCCGGCGGCGCCACCGCCAAACUCAACCAAACAAACACCGCCCACUCUACUCAAACCCCUCUUUACAACCAUGCCAACCGUUUCCUUCGAAUCCUAAAAGAAUUGUUCGAAUCUUUAUUUGAAAACCUCGGUCAAAAUACAAACUCGUCCAAACCGGUACAAAUUCAUACCCCGUAGUCCCUUGGACCUCCUCACCUCGAAUCCUAAGCCAAAAACAUUCGAAUUUGAGUAAAGCUCGGCGAAUUUCAAAUCUAGGGUUCUUAACGGUUCGAGCUUAUUUUGAGAUUUUUUAAAGGCCGACUUAUUUCUAGUUAAUAUUUUGUUCCUAUUUAUGAAGAAAUAUGCAUGUAAUAUUAACUGGAAAUCAAUUUCGAAAGGUGUCCUCGUGGAGUCCAAAAACCAGUGAAUUUGCUUAAAUUUCUUCCUUUCUUUCUUGCAUAUUAAUCCGUUCAGUGUUAUAGGUCUGAGUUCAAAUUGCCUGCUAGUUUGAGUAAAUUUCUUCAUAAUUAAUUGAUAUUGUUCUAGUUUGCAUGUGAUUCAAUUUUGUUAAUUGCUCCAUGAUUGUGUCUACACUCUUGAUUUUAGUUUAAUUUCAUAGUUAGCUAAAUUUGUCCAGUCGAUGUGAUUUUAGUGUGUUUGAUUGUGAAUAUUUGGUUCUAGCUUGAAUUGAUUAACUAUAGUUAAGUAGGUGGUUUGGAUAUAGCUGUUCAAUUCCUUUUAUUAGUUAACUACAGUUAAGUUUGUAACAGGGGUUAAGGGUUGGGUCAGCUAGCUUAGUAUGUAAUUCUUAGACAAUUUAAAGGGUAAUUUGGGGAUAAAAAAGGGUCGUAUUUGAGAAUUUGUAAUUUUAAAACAAGAAAAAUUGUAGUCUAAGAAUUGUGCAGCUCAAAGAGCAUCAUAGAAGCUCCUAGAAUAGGGCUUUUCACAUUUCUGAAAGCUUAGAGAAUAACUUGAGGAACAAGUUAGAAAUUAAGGUUAAAAGCUAUAAAUAACUAGGGACUAAUGGUGCAAAUUGAAAAUCUAAUUUUUUCCCUAUUUUGCUUCUAUAAAAAGGAACCUAAUGCCUUAUAAAGGGGGAACCUUUUCAGCCUAAAAAAUCCAAGAACAAAAAUCUGAUUUUCUUUGCAUUUUCAAUUUUAGAUUAGUCUUCAUUUUUUUUCAGUCCAGAAAAAUCCAAAAAAAAAAAAAAAAUAAUAACUUUUGAAUUUCCGUUGCAUUUUUAAUUCUAGAUUAGUUUCAGCCCAUUAGAUAAAGAAAAAUACAAAAAAUAUACACAAAAGAAAAAUGGAAAAUCCGAAAUCACUGUUUCAUUAUAUUUGUAAGCUGAUUCGCCCACUUCCUGGUUUUCUUUUUAGCUGCUGGAGUUUCUGAGUUAGUUAUAGGUGAUUUGAAGCAAUUUUAGGGCCUAUUCAAUCUGGUUUAUGGAUGUUUGUGGUUGCUACUAGGUUUUCAACUCUAUCCGGGUCUUGGUUUGAGUUAAUUUCCUGGUUUAAGCUCGAAUUUGCCGAUUGAUUUGGUUUUCGCUGACUAUUGCUAGAUUCACUGCUGCUGAUCUUCAAUUUCUCUUUUGUUGAUUUGGAUCCCCAGGUACAGAAAUUGUAUCCAUGACAACUGUGAGCUGGAUGUAUGCUGAAAUGAAUAUAUGUGAAUUGGAAGCAUAAUUUUUGCCUUAGUCCUUGUCUUCUUGGUUCUGUGCUCGUUCAAGCUAGAUUCUGAAGUUAGCUUUCAUAUUAUCUGUUAGUUGACAUAAUUUUAAUUCAGCCUAGCUUCACUUCAUUAUUUGUAGUUAUAUAUCAUCAUGAUAAUGGACUUUUGGACUGUAUAGCUGGGACUGUUUGGGGUCGUUUAUUGAUUUAUGGACUAUUAGCUUAAUUCAGUCACUUAUUGAGAACAUAUGAACGCUGUAUUUAAUAAUUUAUUUGAGUAUAAUUUGUGUUGUUAAUAUAUUGCAAAAUAGAAUUCAUAUGAAGCCUUGCCUUAAACUUGAAAUUGGUUCUGCAUUUAGUAAGUAGACCAAGUCUAGACUAAUUGAUUGAUUUAGUAGGUUUUUUUGGGUUCAGCUAGACUACUGGUGUAAUGAAAUCCAAUCUGGGUUGACUGUUAAAAAAAAUGAAAAUUGGGUUUG
rnacentral:lncRNA from 1 species